UACGGAGGAUGCGAGCGUUAUCCGGAUUUAUUGGGUUUAAAGGGUGCGCAGGCGGCGCCCCAAGUCAGCGGUCAAAUCGAGGGGCUCAACCCCUUUCCGCCGUUGAAACUGGGGGGCUAGAGUGGGCGAGAAGUAGGCGGAACGCGUGGUGUAGCGGUGAAAUGCAUAGAUAUCACGCAGAACCCCGAUUGCGAAGGCAGCCUACCGGCGCUCUACUGACGCUCAUGCACGAAAGCGCGGGGAUCGAACAGG
rnacentral:rRNA from 1 species